UUUCCGGUUGAUCCCGCCGGACCUGACUGCUAUCGGAUUGAUACUAAGCCAUGCGAGUCAUUGUAGCAAUACAAGGCAGACGGCUCAGUAACGCGUAGUCAACCUACCCUAUGGACGGGAAUAACCUCGGGAAACUGAGUAUAAUGCCCGAUAGAACACUAUACCUGGAAUGGUUUGUGUUUCAAAUGAUUUAUUGCCGUAGGAUGGGACUGCGGCCUAUCAGUUUGUUGGUGAGGUAAUGGCCCACCAAGACUAUUACAGGUACGGGCUCUGAGAGGAGUGGCCCGGAGAUGGGUACUGAGACACGGACCCAGGCCCUAUGGGGCGCAGCAGGCGAGAAAACUUUGCAAUGUGCGAAAGCACGACAAGGUUAAUCCGAGUGGUUUCUGCUAAAGGAACCUUUUGACAGUCCUAGAAACACUGUUGAAUAAGGGGUGGGCAAGUUCUGGUGUCAGCCGCCGCGGUAAAACCAGCACCUCAAGUGGUCAGGAUGAUUAUUGGGCCUAAAGCAUCCGUAGCCGGCUCAGUAAGUUUUCGGUUAAAUCUGUACGCUUAACGUACAGGCUGCCGGGAAUACUGCAGAGCUAGGGAGUGGGAGAGGUAGACGGUACUCGGGAGGAAGUGGUAAAAUGCUUUGAUCUUUCGAUGACCACCUGUGGCGAAGGCGGUCUACCAGAACACGUCCGACGGUGAGGGAUGAAAGCUGGGGGAGCAAACCGGAUUAGAUACCCGGGUAGUCCCAGCUGUAAACUAUGCAAACUCAGUGAUGCAUUGGCUUGUGGCCAAUGCAGUGUUGCAGGGAAGCCGUUAAGUUUGCCGCCUGGGAAGUACGUACGCAAGUAUGAAACUUAAAGGAAUUGGCGGGGGAGCACCACAAGGGGUGAAGCCUGCGGUUCAAUUGGAUUCAACGCCGGA
rnacentral:rRNA from 1 species